rnacentral:rRNA from 1 species
GACAAUGGGGGGAACCCUGAUCCAGCCAUGCCGCGUGUGUGAAGAAGGCCUUUUGGUUGUAAAGCACUUUAAGCGAGGAGGAGGCUCUCUUGGUUAAUACCUGAGAAGAGUGGACGUUACUCGCAGAAUAAGCACCGGCUAACUCUGUGCCAGCAGCCGCGGUAAUACAGAGGGUGCGAGCGUUAAUCGGAUUUACUGGGCGUAAAGCGCGCGUAGGUGGUUAAUUAAGUCAAAUGUGAAAUCCCCGAGCUUAACUUGGGAAUUGCAUUCGAUACUGGUUAGCUAGAGUAUGGGAGAGGAUGGUAGAAUUCCAGGUGUAGCGGUGAAAUGCGUAGAGAUCUGGAGGAAUACCGAUGGCGAAGGCAGCCAUCUGGCCUAAUACUGACACUGAGGUGCGAAAGCAUGGGGAGCAAACAGGAUUAGAUACCCUGGUAGUCCAUGCCGUAAACGAUGUCUACUAGCCGUUGGGGGAUUUGAUCCUUUAGUGGCGCAGCUAACGCGAUAAGUAGACCGCCUGGGGA